rnacentral:rRNA from 1 species
AUGUGGGGUGACGACGAUACCCCGUCGCCGUCCCCAUCGGCACACCCGCCCACCGUAGCUGGCAACCCAAUCCUGCUUGACUUCAACGCUGCACGGUACCAAGCAUUCUUCUACUGCAACGCGACUUCCUUUGUGGCCUCUAUCGCCGUCAUCCUGCUGCUGCUGCAGCGCACCUUGAAGAAGCAGCAGCCCGGCGCGCCGCUGCGGACGUUGCAGACCGCCGUGGUGCUGGACCUGCUCGGGCUGCUUGGCGCGUACACCGCCGGCAGCUGCAGGGACUGGGAGACGUCUGGCUACGUCAUCGCGCUCGUAGCCGUCGUGGUCGUCUUCAUUGCGCUGCACGGGCUGUUGUCGUUCGACAUCGUGUUUAACAAGGCCAGGAAGCUCCUGCCGAAGAAGUACUUUGGAGGUGGCAACGAUGUUGAGGCCCAGCCCGGGAAUCCCGAUCAGACCAGCCGCCAUGGACAAUGCCUAGUUUAUGUUUUCUUUGCUUGUUUGCGUUCUUUUGAUUCCAAAUGCGUGCGCCACAGAUUCCAUUUGAUGUGUCUUGUAUGUGGAGUAAUGAACAAGUAUUUGUAA